GUGGGGAAUAUUGCACAAUGGGGGAAACCCUGAUGCAGCGACGCCGCGUGGAGGAUGACGGCCUUCGGGUUGUAAACUCCUUUUGUCAGGGACAAUGGUGAUGGUACCUGACGAAUAAGCCACGGCUAACUCUGUGCCAGCAGCCGCGGUAAGACAGAGGUGGCGAGCGUUGUUCGGAAUUACUGGGCUUAAAGGGCGCGUAGGCGGUGGUGUAAGUCUGGGGUGGAAUGCUACAGCUCAACUGUAGAGCUGCCUUGGAAACUGCAUUACUUGAGGCGGUGAGGGGAAGGCGGAAUUCCUGGUGUAGCGGUGAAAUGCGUAGAUAUCAGGAGGAAGGUCUGUGGCGAAGGCGGCCUUCUGGCACUUGACUGACGCUGAGGCGCGAAAGCGUGGGGAGCAAACAGGAUUAGAAACCCUUGUAGUCC
rnacentral:rRNA from 1 species